CUCAGCCCCACGCCCUCCCUGCAGCACGGAGUGGCUGCCGGCCACGGCAGACGUGUGGGAACUGGGGACUCAUGGGGCCGACGCCAGCUGCCACCACACCUGGGAUUAUCACAGGGCUGGCCCCGAAGCGGCAGCAUUUUAGGAGAUAAGGUGUUCAGGAUCACAUACACGGCGUGAGGAGGGCGUGUGAAAUCGGUUAAGGAGGGGAACAGAGAGGAAAGCUCAGGAGUGAGGCAGGAGAGCUCUGUUGGGAAUCGAAGAACCAGCACAUCACCGCCAUGAACACAUCCCCCAAGGAAAUCAGGGUCUCCUGCUGCUCCUCUGGCAGCAGUGCAGGAUCCCUGCUGGGAUGCACCUCGAGUGGGAGGAGGAACGGCAAGAACCACGCGGGCAUCUUUGUUAUUGUUGCAUUCCCAAGGCUAAUGACAGCUUCCCACAGGACCUCACUGCUCAGGUUUGCUCCUUCUUGCUUUCUAUUUCAGAUUUUUUUUUUUUUCCCUGGACAAGUUGAGAGCUGGAAUUAAGUGAAAUCGAGCCACGGGGAUUCCAGAUGGAAACCAAUCCCUUGCUCCGGUGGGGACCGCAAAAGCUCAUGGGGGAGGGAGGGAGCAGCCCCAGU